rnacentral:rRNA from 1 species
UCCCUACGGGGCGCAGCAGUGAGGAAUAUUGGUCAAUGGCCGAGAGGCUGAACCAGCCAAGUCGCGUGAGGGAAGACGGCCCUACGGGUUGUAAACCUCUUUUGUCGGGGAGCAAAGAGAGUCACGUGUGACUCAUUGAGAGUACCCGAAGAAAAAGCAUCGGCUAACUCCGUGCCAGCAGCCGCGGUAAUACGGAGGAUGCGAGCGUUAUCCGGAUUUAUUGGGUUUAAAGGGUGCGCAGGCGGAGGUGCAAGUCAGCGGUCAAAUUGCGGGGCUCAACCCCGUACCGCCGUUGAAACUGCAUC